CCGACAUAGUUUUUCCUCGUCCAAGGGAUACUUGUUUUCACAGCUUUACUGAUGCGCGCUUUUUUUUCCCUUGCAGAAAUCCAAGAACUCGAACAUCUUCCAUCCCCACCCGAGGCCUUUGUGGAAAUCCAAGAACUCGAACAUCUUCCAUCCCCACCCGAGGCCUUUGUGGAAAUCCAAGAACUCGAACAUCUUCCAUCCCCACCCGAGGCCUUUGUGG